CUCGCUUUGGAGAUGAGGCUGGCCUCGAACUCACAGAGAUCCGCCUGGCUCUGCCUCCCGAGUGCUGGGAUUAAAGGCGUGCGCCACCACCGCCCGGCUCUUGCUCCUAUCUUAACAGCCCCUCUCCCCGUCCAGAACAGUUCUGAGAACUCCCGCCAGCAACCUGACCAAGCAAUAUUUACUAGAAAAAAAACAAAGGUAAGAAACAGAAAACAACUUAAUUGAUUACAGCCUCAUCAAUCAACCUGUCAAUGGUCACAGCUUCAUUAAGAGCUGGCUACAUGGUCUCCUGUGUCCAGCCAAGGCUCAGUUUCUGUUCUUGGAGUCUGUAUUGGUUGAUCUGUUAGGCCCAGGGCAUGAGUUUGGCCUUCUAGAAAGGUUCCUGAAAAGCUUUCCAAUGAUGUUACCAUUGCUAGGUUUUGGUGGUAGUACAUCUCGCUGUGGACUAUCGUGGUAACUGUUCUGUGUCUGCUCGCCAAGAAUGCCCAUUGUGCUGUUACUGGGGAAUGUGUUCUAGAUAAACACUCAAGUCAAGGUGGCUGGCAGAGUUCAGGUCUUCCACGUCUUUGCUGAUUUUCUGCCUGCUUUUUUUUUUUCUUUUAAGUUACGUAUGGUGAUAUUUUAUUUGUAUUAAAAUGUUAUUUGUAUGUUAAUAAAUAAAGUUGCCCGGGGGUCAGAGCUAUUAGCAAGCCAUAGGAAAGCAGGGCAGUGGUGGCGUACACUUGUAAUCCCAGCACUUGGUAGGCAGAGCUGGGUAAGUCUCUGUGUGUUCAGGGAUACAGCCAUUAUUGGAUACACAUGCCUUUAAUCUCAAUACCAAUCAUGGAAAACCUGGAGGCCUAUACAGACAGGCUGUGAGGAGGCGGUCAUGUGGUUGGGUUUACAACCAAUGAGAAGGCAGGACAGGAACUCUAUAUAAAGACUUUAACACAGGGGUAGCUCUGGUUCGGAGAGGUAGGACCACCGCAGGAGGAAGGGUAAGGUUUUAGCUCUUAGCUCUGACCUCUUGACUUUCUUCUUUGCAUUGGUUCUGUGUUUCUUAUUUAAUAAGAAGGUUGUUUACAUCUACAGUUACAUAUUGCUACUCUUAUGUAUGAGUAUUUUGUCUCCAUGUGCACCAUGUGUGUGCCUGGUGCCUGCUGAGGCCAGAAGAGGGUGUCAGAUCCCCUAAAACUGGAGUUACUGGAGUCACAGAAGGUUGUGAGCCACCAGCAGGUGCUGGGAAUUGAACCUGAGUCCUGUGGAAGAGGAGCCAGUGCUCUUAAUCAUGGGGCCAUCUCUCCAGCCCCUCUACGUGUUCUUUGAACAGCCAGACAAAGGUCGUUGCAAUCUCCACUACAGUCAUAGACUCGUCUAUUUCUUCUUUAGGUUCCUUCAUUUCCAAUUUCACACAUUUUAACAAUCUGUUUUUAUUAUGCUGUGUCUUCUUGUUGAAUUGAACCCCUGUUAUUAUGAAAUGUUCCUCAUUAUCUCUGAAAUAUUCCCUGCUCUGAAUUCCACUUUGAUGACAGCAUGGCCAUUUCUUUAUGUUGAAAGUAGAUCUCUUGAAUUCUGUUCUUCAUUCCAAUUUUUAUUCCUCUAUUUUCUACUUUAUUUUAGAUUAUUUGAAUAUCCAGUACUGUAGUUGAUUAACUGUGUUUGGAUAAUUAGUGUUCCAUUUCAAUUUACCUAUUGGUUUUUGGUACUUCAGGGGUUGCAAUAUGCACCCCUAAACCACCACACUCCACCAACAGGUGCCAUUUCAUCAUUUCAGAUGAAAUACAGGCCCUUUCAGAGUCUAUCCGUCCUUUUUCCUUCCUUCUUAUGUCUACAGACAGUGAAAUAUAUUCUAUACAGCUUAGGGUUUUUUCUCUUUCAAUAGCCGUAACAUGCUUUAACCUCUGAUGAGAGAAGAGCUGUUUUCACUAACAUAGAUAUAUGCUGCAUCUUUUUUCUUAGGUUGCUCCUUACAUCCCAAGCCUCCUUCUAAUGUCAUCUCUCUUCAGCCCAAAGAUCAUCACCAGCAAUUCUUUCUGGAUUUAUUUUACUCAGAUGAGUCUUUUGCCUGCUUGUAUGUUAUGUAUACCACAUGUGUGUGCCUGGUACCUGAGAUUGUCAGAAGAGGGUGCCAGACCUUCUAGAACUGGAAUUACAGACAAGUGUGAGCCACCGUGUGUGUGCUGGGAAUUGAAUCUACAAGAACAAGUGCUCUGAAACACUAAGCCAUCUCUUCAGUCCCAGAGAAGCUUUAAAAACAGUUAACAACAGUUAAUGCAGAGACCCACAGCAGGUCAAGUCCUACGACGAAUCCAUGAAGAUUGAAGCUCUGCCCUAAAUGGGACAUCUCUAUCAAACCCUGACGACUCGGGAAACAUUGCAGAAGAGGGUGAAGAGUGGAAAAGCCAGAAGGUGAGGAGCAGAGCUGUGAAACCUGUCUCCUGGACAUGAUGUGACCAUUGCACUCAAGAGCUCUCAGGGGCUAUGGCUAGUCACCUGCACAAGGCCAACAUACAGCCAAGCUGGUCAACAUUUUAGUAUGGAUUUGAGAGGCACUCAGAAGGCCUCACCCCUGACUGUGGAGCUAUUGGUAGUUGAGGGCUUCUAGAGGUGUGGAAGAUGGUUUUCUUCCAGAAUGUGGCUACUGGUAGAUUUACCAGACUCCAGUGCAUGGCCCCACCCCCACUCACGUGCAGGUACCACUAAAUGGACUCAGUCACAUAAAAGAAGAGUGUAUGAAGUCGGGAGUGGGUGGGUUGGGGUGUGUCCUGAGGAUUAGGGUGGAUACAAUCAAGGUACACUGCAUAGAUGUAUGAAAGUUAUCAAUGAAUAGAAAUAUUCCUUAAAAAAUGGGGAGACCACCACAGAGAUUCAUCUCUGCAGAUCUUUUAGACCUUUUGUCUUUUUCUCAUGUCCAGUGAUUUUAAUUAUAAUCAAUAUAACAGAUUGUAAUUGACUUACUCUAUUUUGAUUCAAGUUUGUCUCAUCUGUGUUGGGUUUAAUCACCCCCUGCCUCCCUUGCCCUAACUUUUUAUUACAGAAGUUGGGUUAUAGAUUUGAAGGUUUUUUUCCCUUUUCUUUUCUCAGAUAAACAUUUAAAACUAUAAAUUUUCCUCUGAGUACUGUUUUAGUUAUGUCUCAUACAUUUUGAUAUAGUAUAUUCAUAAUAUUUUUCAGCUCAAAAUAUUCAUUAAUUUCCUUGUUCUUGUUUGAACCAUGGAUUAGCUAAAGCGCUCUGUUUAAUUUCCAAACAUUUAUUUAUUUGUUUAAAGGUUUAUUUUUAUUCAUAUGUAGGAGUGUUUGGGCUACACAUAUGUUAUCCACCAUAUGCAUGCUUGGUGCCCAGGGAGGCCAGAAGAGAACAUUGAAUUUCCUGGUACUGGAGUUACAGAUGGUUGUGAGCCAUGCACACAGGUGCUGGAGUCUAAUCUGGAUCUUCUGAAUGAGCCUCCAGUGGUCUUAACCACAGGGCCGUCUCUCUAGCCCCCUGAUAUCUAAAUAUCUUCUCCAGAUAUGGUGUUUUGACUCUUGAAUUCUAAUUUAAUCCUGACGAGUUAAUGAAACACAGUAAGAACUGUUUCUGUUAACUAUAUCAAGCAUAUUAGGCUUGUUUUUAUGACCAAUACAAUUGUCAUCCUACUGAAUAUCGUUGUGACAUUCACGAAGCAGUCAGUCAUGAUUUUGGGAUGAUGAUUUACAAGAGUUAACUUAGUCAACUUAGUGGUCAGCACCUCUAUACGCCUCUAAUUUUCUAUUUUUUCUGUAAACUGCUAGGCAAAUGUCAUGGUCCUGCACUUCUCUCCCUUUAUUAGUUUUUGCUUUACUCUCCCCUGGAGAUUCACACAGGGCCUCACACAUGCCAGAAGUGCUCUACCACUGAGUCAGAUCCUCAGCUCCCGGUUGAUCUUUCUGUAAAGUUCUGAAUUUGAGUAAACAGUUGGCCCUCCGAAUACAGGGCUUAUGCAUCUGUAGAUUUACCCAACCGCAAAUCAAAAAUAUCUGAAAUCUGCACUGCAUCUGCACUGAACACUCAAGACUGUUUUCCUUGUAAUUGUUGGAAAUCAUCCUAAUUGAGGCAUUAUUGGCAAUUGCAAUAAAUCUAGAGGUGACCUAAGGCCCACGGGCCCUACGCAUAGUUCAUGUUAUACGGGGGCUUGAGCAGCCACAGACUCAGGGGCCCCGGGGGGAUGCGGAGCCAACCCCACAGACACCCCCAGGCUACCAUGUACCCUGGCAGGAUCUUCUCUUCUUCAACUACGUUUUGAAAUGUUUCUUUUGUCUUUGAGGACAAGCAUCAUCUUAAAACCCUUCCACCUGACGAUGAUAUAAAUACAGUUUUCUUACAAUUACUUCUUUGCUGGCACAUCUCUCUUCUCUCCAGCCUUGAACUUCUCUGAGUUUUUUUUUUUGUUUUUUGUUUUUUUUUAUUUAAAGUGAGAAAUGUGGUCUUCUGUAGGGAACAUUUGUGAGCUUGCUGUUUUUCCUCAUUUGAUAGGGUCUGCCUUUCCAGAGUUUGGUCAUUUAUAGUUAAUGCGGUUAUUACAUAAUCGGGUUAAACUACAAUAACUUGCUGUUCGCUUUCUAAUUGCCUCAACUGGUCUUUGUUCUUUCUUUGAUUUUGGAUUCAUUGACUUUAGAAAGAAAAAACCAUACUCUACUGUUUCUCCACUGUUAGCUUAUUGGUUAUAACUUUUUCCUUUUUAAACCUAUUUUUGCAGUGAUUGCUACAAUAUGAAUUUUUAACUUGUCACAAACUCUCUUCUGAGAGAAUGUUGCCCUUCAUAGCUCUAUAUUUCUGCUCCUUUCUUCCACCCCUUGCGUUACCCUUCUCAUACGUGUUCCAUGCAUGUAAACCCUGCAUGCAUUGUUACCAGGAAGUUUACAUAGUAAAAACAUCUUUUUUUUUUCUUAAAGGCUUAAAUUACAGAUUCUGUAUUUCAUACAUAUUUACUGCCCAGCUUCCUUUAUUGCUGUGUACAGAUCCACAUUCCUAUCUGGUAUUGCUUGCUUCUGUUUAAAAAUUAUCUCCUUUAAUUUCUUUCCCUGAUAAUCUUCCUAGCGAUAACUACCCAGCUUCAGCUGCCUAAAAAUGCUUUAUUUGCUGCCUUUAUUUUUGAAAAUAUUUUUGCUGGAUGCAGAUUCUAGAUUAUUAGUUUUUUUCCUUUAAUAACUUCUAUUAUUAUUGUGACUUAUUGUAUAUUAAUAUUUAGUAGGGUGAGUUCCUCCUCAAUUCUUUUGUUUUUCUCUCUAAUUAUUUUUCCCACAGGAAGUUUAAAGCCAUCUUGUCUGACUAAAAGAACUUUCUGUUGAUACUUUUAAAAAUUUCAUGUGUAGGUUAUCUUGGGAGUAAUUAACGCUUUUCUGAUCCUAUACCUUCCUGUGUAUGAGACAAGUUUGUCUUUUUACCUUUUUCCAAGUGUUCAUUUGCAUUUCUAAAUAGCAUCCAAGAAAUUUUCCUCAAAUAGGUCUUCAAUAUUUCUUACUAUGUUUGGAGGCCUUUCAUAUUUUUGUGAUUGGUCCUGUAGGUGAUGAAGUCUUGUUAUUUGCUCUAAGCAGCCUUUGUGUAGGGAGCCUGUUCUUCUCCACUAGUCUUGUCCCAACCAUCUCACCAUACUCACUCACAUUCCCCAUUCAUUUGCUGGUGACUUUUCCAGUGUGCAUUGCAAUGGUUGUGCAUUCUUACAUCUGCCAUCUUGGGAAACUGAGGUGAGCAGAAAUGCUGCAUUUAAAGCAAUAGAGUUACAAUAAGACAGAUUCAGAUAAAAUAGUUUACAAUGUGUGUAAAAAUGUACAUAGGCUUUGAAGAGAGAAAAAAGUAAUAUAUGCAGUUACAGAAAAAAUAGUUUUAAAAAAAAUAAAGUCUUUAAAGAUAAAGUAAAAGUGAUAUAAAAAAAAAA